CUGACAGCCCUGAAGAAUGAAGUCCUUCUUGUAUCCACAGAACAGGUGUAGAGUGGGAAGUGGAAGGACUAGCUUCCUCACACUAUUUCAGUGUUGACCUGGAAGGACCACGUUCACUUGCCAUGCCAUUGAAUCCCUGGCCUAU
rnacentral:sRNA from 1 species